rnacentral:rRNA from 1 species
CGAAAGCGUGACGGAGCAAUGCCGCGUGCAGGAUGAAGCCCCUCGGGGUGUAAACUGCUGUCAGGGAUUAGGAACACAAUGACCAGUCCCAAAGGAAGAGACGACUAACUCUGUGCCAGCAGUCGCGGUAAUACAGGGGUCUCGAGCGUUAGUCGGAAUCACUGGGCUUAAAGCGUGCGUAGGCGGAUGUGCAGGCGUCGUGUGAAAGCCCUCGGCUCAACCGGGGAAUUGCACGGCGAACCGCAUGUCUUGAGACAAGUAGGGGCGGUCGGAACGAUAGGUGGAGUGGUGAAAUGCGUUGAUAUCUAUCGGAACGCCAAAGGUGAAGACAGACCGCUGGGCUUGUUCUGACGCUGAGGCACGAAAGCGUGGGGAACAAACGGGAUUAGAUACCCCGGUAGUCCACGCCCUAAACAAUGUGCACUAGAUCGAAGGAGGUACUGACGCCUUUUUCGGUCGAAGUAAAAACGUUGAGUGCACCGCCUGGGGAGUACGGUCGCAAGGCUA